rnacentral:rRNA from 1 species
CACGUAGGGGCUAGCGUUAUCCGGAAUCACUGGGCGUAAAGGGCGCGUAGGUGGUCUGUUAAGUCUGGCGUUAAAGCCUGGGGCUCAACCCCAGAUCAGCGUUGGAUACUGGCAGGCUAGACGGUUGGAGAGGCAAGUGGAAUUACCAGUGUAGCGGUGGAAUGCGUAGAUACUGGUAGGAACACCCAUUGCGAAGGCAGCUUGCUGGACAACACGUGACGCUGAGGCACGAAAGCGUGGGGAUCGAACAGGAUUAGAUACCCG